rnacentral:rRNA from 1 species
UACGUAGGGUGCAAGCGUUGUCCGGAAUUACUGGGCGUAAAGGGCGCGUAGGCGGCCUUCUAAGUCGAACGUGAAAUCCCCGGGCUCAACCCGGGAACUGCGUCCGAUACUGGAAGGCUUGAAUCCGGGAGAGGGAUGCGGAAUUCCAGGUGUAGCGGUGAAAUGCGCAGAUAUCAGGAGGAACACCGAUGGCGAAGGCAGGUCUCUGGGCCACUACUGACGCUGAGAAGCGAAAGCAUGGGGAGCGAACAGG